GCGUGAGGGAAGAAGCUCUACGGAGUGUAAACCUCUGUUAGGAGGGAUGAAGACUGUAAUGGUAAACAAUCAUUGCAGGAAGACAGUACCUCCAAAGAAAGCCCCGGCUAACUCCGUGCCAGCAGCCGCGGUAAUACGGGGGGGGCAAGCGUUGUCCGGAAUUACUGGGCGUAAAGGGCGUGUAGGCGGAUAGGUCAGUCUAGAGUGAAAUCCUACAGCUUAACUGUAGAAUUGCCUUUGAUACUACCUGUCUUGAGUUCGGGAAAGGGAAGCGGAAUUCCUGGUGUAGCGGUGAAAUGCGU
rnacentral:rRNA from 1 species